rnacentral:rRNA from 1 species
UACGUAGGGGGCUAGCGUUGUCCGGAAUCAUUGGGCGUAAAGCGCGUGUAGGCGGUCCGGUAAGUCCGCUGUGAAAGUCGGGGGCUCAACCCUCGGAUGCCGGUGGAUACUGUCGGGCUUGAGUCCGGAAGAGGCGAGUGGAAUUCCUGGUGUAGCGGUGAAAUGCGCAGAUACCAGGAGGAACACCAAUGGCGAAGGCAGCUCGCUGGGACGGUACUGACGCUGAGACGCGAAAGCGUGGGGAGCAAACAGG